rnacentral:lncRNA from 1 species
UUUUUUUUUUUUUUUUACCAAAUGAAAUACUCAGCAGUCAGCCUGACUGUCCUUAAUAAGAAAAUCAGAUUGGACUAUGUUAUGAUUGGGAACAAAACGUAAAAUAUAUUUGCUUUUUAUUUCCCUAGAGAGACAGGGUUUUAAUGGGAUUCAUGCAAAGAACUUGAAGAAAGCUGCUCCAACUGGUAUUUUGAAAGUCAAAAAACUUUAGCCACUCUAAGCCACACUUUAGCCUACAAUAAGGAAAAUAAAAGCCAUAAAUCACCCCAUGAGGAUGAUUUUGUCAUCCGAAGAGAAUGUUUCUCAGAGCAGACUGCUACCUUCUACCACCUGCUCUUCAGUACCUCCAUGUGCCAGGCAGGCAGCAGGACAGAAAUAUAAAACCUAUUUCCUCUGGAACUUUGGAAUCUAGAUCAUCUAGGCAGAAUCCAUCACUGGGUCACAAUUUGGUAUUCUGCUUUGUCUAGAAAACACACGCACAAACUGUCAAAUAUAGACUAUUUCCAUCAAAGCAUUCAUUUAUAACUCCUUGCUACCUAGAGAUACUCAAAGCAGAUGAUUAGGAAUGAAGCAGAUUCCAAGGAAUUUUUUGGUCAGGCAUAUAUGUAAGUUAGAAAAACACGACUGGCAGCACCUCAUUGGUAGGGCUUAGGACAAAAUAAAAAUGUAAGUCCCUUACUUGAAAAUUAUUAAGAACUUCACGGUGACAGCAGAGCAUUGCACUAAUCACAGGUCCUGUCUGAGCACCAGGCUAGGGGAUGGCAGAGGUCCAGGCACACGCAGACUCCUUGACCCCGGGACAAAUUGUGUAACUUGUUAGCACUCUCAGGAAUCGUGUACUAAGAAAAAGGGAGGGAAGGACCAGGGGCACCGCUCAUGGAGUGACACAGAGAAUCAUUUGUUGAUGUAACAGUAACAAAUGUUUCUGUCCAUACUGGUAGUUGCAGAGCACUUCCCCCAGAUCUGUGUCUCGCUGAGUUGAAGCAACAAUUCUGUGAGAUGUUAACAUUAUCCCUCUUGUAGAGAAGGCCAACUGGGGUUCCAAAAUGAUCAAAUGGCUCCCCUUCAAGGCCACUCAGCCUGCACAGGACCUAGAUGCCGGUCACCUGAUCUCAAAUCCAAUUUUCCUUCCACAACUUGGUGCUGGGGUCCGUGGGUUACAAGGAGGCAUAGAACUCCAUGUGUGCAGCCUGGCACUCACUAGUGACAGCUGGGUAACAGGUGUGGACUGCAUGGGUUGGGUAGGUGUUUCCACACCUCUGGGUCUGACCCUACUUCAGAGCCAAUGCCAGACCAAGUUCCUUAUUCCUGAUCCCUUCUCCUCACCGCCACCAGACUUCACCACCCUCCUUCAGUUCUCCAUCAGUUUCUUCACUGGACGAGUAAAGACCAGUCAGCCAAGCAAGCUCCUGCUCAGGUUCACCUUUUAUGAGAUCCCAGAAUCUGAAGCAAAUGUCCUAUGUUUGACUGCUGCCAGUGUUUUUUAAUCGGAAGCAUGACUCUUUCCCUUUACCCUUAAGAGCAGCUUAAAAGACUCUUGAAAAUUAGAUAUCAUCUUAACUGAUUCUCUCGUCUCUUCCAAAAAGGUAGAUGAGAGCUAGGAUGAAACUUGCCAGGCACAUCUGCACUUGACUAAAACAAAGUUAAGAGUCUUAAGCUCAUUUCAUUUUCUCCACGCUUGCACUAAAACCAUGAAAAUGUAUGUGUUUUUUCCAGUCAUAUUUUAAUUAUGAGAGCUCUGGAAGCAAAUAAUUAAAGCAAAAAACCACAUUGUUCUUUGUUUGUGUUACUCUUAAAUGAUACUACUUCUGAAAUAUUAGCUUUUAAUUGGUAAAUAUAUAAAUGUGAUUAAAAUAUUUCCACAACCCUAAUUUAUAAUGUUUCUUCUUGUUUCACGUUUUCCAAUACAGGAAGUCCAAUGUUGAGUGUAAGAUAUUUCCUUCAAAUCCCAGCUUUAUUUCUGACUCACUGUAAGGCACUGGCUUAAGCUCGUCUCUAUAUUUCAGUUUUCUUGGCUAUAAAAUUGGGAGUACAUAGUGCUUGCCUGCUAGUUUGCAAGGAUGCUUGGGAAAUUCUGGUUUCAGAGUGCAAGACACUUGAAAAGUACAAAGUAUCAUUAUAUUUAUGCUUACAACUUUCCUGACAGUUUCAUUGUGCUAUGAUACAAAAUAAUGGUAAAAUGGAAAUUGUAGGGUUUGGGGUUGGGUGUUCUGAGAUCCAGCAAGAGUUAGAAUGUCUUGAAAAAUACUGUGAAUCUUCAGGGGCCAAGAUAAAACUCAAAUCCAAAGUCUAUUCACAUCUUACAAUAAAAGAGCGACUUCUAAGUAUGGUAUAUGCUUAUUCUCAACUACUAAACCAAAAUCGAUAUACAUUAAGAUAUAACAGCACAUCUUGUAUAAUAAAUCAUAUAUAAUAAUACAUGCAAUAGAGAAUAAUGUAUAUUGUCAUCAACCUUUGCUUUGGUUACCUUUAUCCUGUUUCCUAUUCCUAUGGCAAUGAGAUGAGGAGUAUGACAUCAGAAGUGACCAGAUAAGGAAGUUUCAUAAGAGAAUGGAAAGCAUGGUAACAAAUAAGGAUGGAAGGGAACAGGGAUGACCAAAGGAUGGAGAGAGAAAAACAGGGACCCUCUUGAAAGGCUUCCUGCGUAGUUUGUCUACAUCUGUUUGGGGUCCUUGUCUAUGCUGACUGGUUCUUUCUGUUUUUUCCCCCUUGGGCCAAAAUCCCAAGAGGGUUAUUCCCUGGCAUUAAAUGAAGGAAAGAUCAAGGUGCAAGCCUUUGACUAAGAUGCUUUUCUGAUGAAUGACUUAACAAUUCUCCCUGACCCCAGCAAUCAUGCUAUGUGUUUGACUGGCUUUUUCUAAAGUCUCUUUUUAAAGACUUUAUUUGGGGGAGGGGGUAAUAUCAGGUUCAAAGCAAAAUUGAGAGGAAGGUACAGAGGUUUCCCACAUCCCCCGCCCCGCGCCCACACAGCCUUCUGGAGGAUCAACAUCCUCCAACUGAGUAAUGAUCUCUUUUUUUUUUCUUUUUUUCCACAUUUUGCCUGGCUUGUUCCCAGGCAGCCGCUUCCUCCCAACUCUCCCUGUUUUUAUUCCCUCCCUAUUUCCCUUCAUUUGUUUUCCUUGUGCUUCUCCUACACUUUAUUUUGUUUGCCUUCUGAGCCAUCACAUCCUCUAUUAGCUGAGGUUAUCUCUGGGGCUGGCUUCCCUCUAGACAACAUUCAUUUUCCUCUGACCCUACUUUAGAAGGAAAUUUCAAUUAAUUAUUCAUGCAUUAUUUUUUUCCUCCCAAAGGGGUGAUCACUCAGAUUUGUUAAGGUCCCUGCCUGUCCUACACUAUUAGAGUUUCAUCAGCUGGAAGCCAGCUGUCAGGUAGCACACAAGCUCUUCCUUCUUUUUAUUUAAGGAUCAGCCCUCUCCCAGCGGUGACUAUCCAGCCUGCCUCCAGCCUCUCCUAUCCCUUGGCUCUGUUUUUCAGAACUCCUUGCUUGAUCACUAGGCAUUGUCAGUGGCAAAUUCAAACAUGAGAGAAAGGAAAGUACCCUGAACUCCCUUCCAUCCCAGGACACUAAAUGUCAUUAGGAUAAGCUCGGCCUUAAUCCUAUGGUAGCGUUAAUUGAUGACUUGUAAUUUCAUUUCCUCCAAAUGACUUCUAUGAAGCUGUGCUCAUUUCCAAGCAGCUGGAGCAGACCUGGAAGCAGCCAUAGAAGAAACUAUGUGAUGGCAGAGAGACAUUUGCCUCAGAACAUCCUUGCUCUAGGGACCGUGUCUCAGCAGCUUUUGCCAGUAUGUGGCCUUCUGAGAAUUUCCUCUGCUUUCUCCCCACCUUUAAAAAACAAAAACUACUAUUUUGAUUUUUAAGCAUACAUGCACUUUUUAAAAUAGGUUAAGGAGACUUGUGGUUGCCAAGGAGGAGAGAGAGGGAGUGGGAUGGACUGGGAAUCUGGGGUUAAUGGAUGCAGACUAUUGCAUUUGGAAUGGAUAAGCAAUGAGAUCCUGCUGUAUCGCAGCACUGGGAACUAUAUCUAGUCACUUGUGAUGGAGCAUGACUGAGGAUAAUGUGAGAAAAAGAAUGUGUAUAUGUAUGUGUGACCGGGUCACUUUGCUGUACAAUAGAAAAUUGACAGAACACUGUAAAUCAGCUAUAAUGGAAAAAAUUAAAAUCAUUAAAAAGU